AGCAGUGAGGRAAUAUUGGUCAAUAGCCUAACGGCUGAACCAGCAACUUGGAGGAAUGUAAUAGCGAAAGCUUGUUGUGUUAACUAAGUUAAUGCAGUAUAGACUAUGUCUAAUAAAGUUCUAGGUAGAGUUAUGAUAAUGACAUUUUCUACCUAUGUGUCUUGACCAAAUCACGUGCCAGCAGUCGCGGCAAUACGUGGAAGACUAGUGUUAUUCAUCUUUAAUAGGUUUAAAGGGUACUUAGACGGUAAAUUCAGCCCAGAAGAAACGAAAGGGUACUGAUAAUACUAGAGUUUUAUGUGAGGGAACGAGGGAGUACUGAUGGUGUAGAGAUGAAAUUCUGUGAUACCAUUAUCCACAGAUAACGGCGAAAGCAACACUUUAUGUAAAAACUGACGUUGAAGGACGAAGGCUAGUUAUGAUCAUCAACAGGAUUAGAUACCCUAGUAGUAUUAGCAGACAAUGAUGAAUGCCAUAGAUUAGAGAUGAUUUUAAUAGUAGCAGUAAAACUGUGAACAAUAAUCUUUUUGUCUAUAAAUGAAAGUGUAAGCAUUCCACCUCAAGAGUAAUGUGGCAACGCAGAAACUGAAAUCAUUAGACCGUUUCUGAAACCAGUAGUGAAGUAUGUUGUUUAAUUUGUAGUCACGCAUAAAACCUUACCACAAUUUGUAUAUUAUUAUAUUAGUUAUUUUAAUACAAGAGUUGCAUGGCUGUCUUCAGUUAAUGUCGUGAGAUUUUGGUUAGUUCCAUUAAAUUAACGUAAACCCUUGCUUUAUUUGUUUUAUAAAGUAGUUCUCCGCUAGAUUGGAUAAGAUAACAGGGACUAAGACAAGUCAUCAUGGCCCAAACAUUGUGGGCWRKAGACGUGCCACAUAUGCCUAAACAAAGGGAUGCAAAGUUGUGAGACUGAG
rnacentral:rRNA from 1 species